rnacentral:lncRNA from 1 species
CAUUAGCCUGAUUAGCAACCCCCCCUUUUCAUUUUCAAAACAAAUGUAAAAAAAAAAGAAACAAAAGAAAGAGGAAGUUAAACCCUAGGCCCCUUUCAUGCGCUGUUCAAUGAUUCAUCGCCCGCUUUUGGAGACUCUUCGAACCUUGCUCCCAAACUCCGAUGACGACGGAGAAAGAGCAAAAGGUUCGGUCGAGGUACAUCUUGCUCUUUUGGUUACCUUUUUCAAAAACAAUUGAUAGAUGUAAAAAUGAAAGAAGAAAAAAAAAACUGCGAAAGAAGAAAAAGGAAACUCGAAAUCACCUUUUUGGUGUUUUUGUAUUCUGAUUGCGUAAAAAGUAAGUGUUACAGCCUAUUCUUGGUCUUUUAUAGUAUCUAUUUACAAAAAAUAAAAUGAAAAAAUAUCAAAGCAAAUCACCCCCGUUCUGUCCCUUUUCAUUUUCUC